AAGAAAUUAGUUAAAAUCCAUAACAUAUGUUUGUCAUGCAUAAAUUAUCUUUGAGAUAUUUCUUA
rnacentral:tRNA from 1 species